AUGGUCUAUACCCAUAAUAGUGGCCAAGACCCAAGACAGUGCUCCAUUCACAUUGCUGCAGGUGUCACCUAUGAAUCACAAGGACAGCCCCAAAUCCUGCAGCUCUCCCUUGCUCUGCAAAUGAAGGCGGCAGCAAUGAUCAGGGCUGGAAUCUUCCCAAGGCUCACCUGUAUAUCCCCAAAUAGUCCAUGUGUAUCUACUACGUGUUGGGUCCCAUUCUGGGCACUGGAGACAGAGGAGUGAACAAGGAGUGGCUCACUGCUUGCACCAGGGCAAGGGGAGAAAAACAGACAGGUAAUGGCCGGGACGUGUCUGAAGUCAUCACCCACCAACGAUCAGAAAUAAACACAAAACAUCGGAGCCAAGAAUUCGUUUUAGCAUCCGUGACAGCUGCAUUGAGAAACAGCAUUCGGAGUGUGAAUGGAUGUACUGACUGUAUGAUGCUGAGUCUUUUACUGGACUUCCCCUUGUUUCGUUAGGAGAGCCACGGAAGUCCCCUCCCUAAGUUGAAGAGCCUCUGUCUGGUUGCCAUGUCCGCAGGAGGGAGAAGCUCCCGCUGCCCUCUUUCUGCUGACCUGAAGCCUCAGAAGCAGACAGCUGGAGAAGCGGCCUCCACAGCAUUUUAUCUUGAAACAGGAAAGUUGAUUUUAGCAGUAAAGAAGUCACACGCUGAGCUAGCCCCGGGGUUUUUCAAAGAAAACCUGCGGUGUUCGCCAACAGAUCAAGGCAGUCUUUCGUGGUCCCUGGUGUGUUCCAUGUUGAGCUGUUCCAGCGUCUAAAUGCACAAGUAAAGCCUUUGAAGAUGGAGAAAUACGUGGCCAGGGAAUGGUUUUCGUGGCCACUGAGAAAUAGAAUGCCCUUUUUUUUUUUUUUCUUACAUCCUAGGAAAUUCUGGUUUUCCCCAGUAGGGUAAUUACCAAGCGAUUAAUUCUAGCAUUCCCCACUCCCUACUUCCAUUUAGGAUGCAGUAAUGCUUUUAGAGAGAGGUCAAAACACCUACUUGGAAAACAAAGGCAAAAAAAAAAAAAAAAAAAAAUGUCUGCUUCUGUUCCUUUGCCCAGACAUAGGCCUCUGCAUAUCACUUUUCUGUCAUGUCUCAAUGCUGUGCUCCGAAGCCUGAAAAUAAACACACCCAGAGCUGUGGAAAGGUGCCAACCUCCAACAUUUUCUAGCACCCUGCAGACCACCCACAGUGAUCCCCAGAUACUCAGAUCUUCAUAUGGUUCUUCAUCUCAAUUCAAACAGCCCCAAUUUAGCUGUUUGAUGUUAUUCCCUUAGUUUCUGCUACCAGAAGAAAGGUGUUAGGACUUAGCUUUUUUUAUUCACCACAUCUUUUCAGUUACUCUUCCCGUCCUACGGGCCAGCCCAUCCUCUGACCCUUGUGAAGGAGCCUUUCCUUGGAAUAUUGAAAACCACUUGCUGACGCAGAGCUGUGCGCCUGUGCUCAGCUCCUGGCAGACACUGGGUUGUGGUCAGUAUAAUCACUGAUGUGGCAAUGGGUUCCCCCUCUAAGCCACCCUCUCCUUGGACCCUGGUAAAGUGCUUACUGGAUCAAAAGUGUGGCCAUGGAAAAUCUAGGCAGCUCCUUGAAGGCUUGGCCCUGCCACUCGGUAUCCAAUGGUGAUUUUCCUCCAGGUUGCACAGUGCUACUUAAAGUCCACACUGCCCCAUGGUCCCAGUGCUUGGCACCGUGGUAAGCCUUUUGUAGAUGUUUGUUGACCAACGGUUGGAAAGAGAACACUGACACCCAAGUAGGACGUUUCUUUUGAAUUAUCCCUUCCAUGACAAAACCCUGCUACGGUCCACUGUGCUUCCCUCAAGAGUUGUUGAAUACCUUCCCCCUUCCCCCGAACGUGCUGAAAAUAGGACAAUGCCCCUCCGAGGAUGAGCUCUGUGGCUUUGCUGUUCAAUCUGUGGUGAGCAGCAGCCUGCUGCUCGGUGUCUCACCCUGGCAGUCCCUGCAGGCCCAGACCAAUGGCGAGGAGUGACCAUCCACUGUUAGCACUGGGGACCUGUGCCUCCCCUGUGAAAUUCAAGAGAGAUGUGUCAAGGCUGAGAUCACACAGGUAUCACUAGUUCCUCUGAAGAAAUCAGAAGAAAUGCCACACAUCAAGAUUCGGAGCAGAGUUCCUUGACUUUGGAGACGGGGCCCCACAGUGCCCCCCAAAGAAGCAGAAUUCUGAAGAGCUCUGUAGCUGAGCAUGGGCAGUAAAAGAAGGGAGAGGGGGCCAUGUGGCUGGGGACUCAUCUUUCAAUUCCAUAGCAAGGGCUCACACCCAGUCACUGGCAGGUGAAUAGAACAGAACAUGCAGGCAGGCCAUUAGACGUGACACCAGGCUCCCAGCCACCUGCCUUCUUUCUCUCACCUGAUGGGGGAAGAUCAGCUGAGACCCACUGUGUGCCCUUCACAAGUCUUCACAGUUAGUCUCCACGGCUAUCUGAGAAGCAGGUAUUUUGUUCUAUUUAUUUUUCAGUCCAGUGUAAUUAACAUAUAGUGUUAUAUUAGCUUCAGGGGUACAAUAUAGUGAUUCAUAAUUCUAUACUUACUCCGUGCUCCUCACGAUAAGGGUACCCUUAAUCUCCCUCACUUAGUUCACCCAUCUUCCCACCUACCUCCCCUCAACCAUCCAUGUGUUCUCUAUAGUUAAGAGUUAAGAAUUUUUUGAGUUUAUAGUUAAGAGUCUUUUGGUUUGUCUCUUUCUUUGUUUUGUUUCUUAAGUCCUACAUAAGAGGGAAAUCACAUGGUAUUUGUCUUUCUCUGACUUAUUUCACUUAGCAUUAUACUCUCUAGAUACAUCCGUGUUGUUGCAAAUGGCAAGAUUUCAUUUUUUAGGGCUGAGUAAUACUCCAUUGCAUAUAUACACAUCUUCUUUGUCCAUUCACCUAUGGAUGGACCCUUGGGCUGCUUCCAUAUCUUGGCUGUUGUAAAUAAUGUUGCAAUAAACAUAGUAGUGCAUGUAUCUUUUCGAAUUAGUGUUUUCAUUUUCUUUGGAUAAAUACCCAGGAGCGGAAUUAUGGGAUCAUAAAGCAGUUCUGUUUUUAACUUUUUGAGGAACCCUCCACACUGUUUUCCACAGUGGCCGCACCAGUCUGCACUUCCAAGGAGGUAGGUAUUGUAAUAAUGGCUGCUAUUUUUGAAUUUAGGGGAAAAUGUACAAACCGUGGUGCCCAGCACUCUCUCCUGAUCUUUACAAAAGCCUUGCAAACGAAGGUCAUUCUCAUUUUGAAGCUGAGGAUGGUGACCUUGAGAGUAAACUGCCCAUGUAGCCAGCAAGUGGUGACACAGGGAUUAGACAUCAGAUCUGUCAGACUCCAAGCCCCGCUCGAGCCACCGUCUCACACAGCCCCCAUGUAUCCUGGUUACUUUCCUGCAGCUCCCCUCAUAUUCCCUCUACUUCACGUGGCAAGGACUGGGGUGGCACUGAAGCAGCUCCCUGGGCUUCUGGAUGCCAAGGGCACCCGAAGUUUCAUCUUCUGACUGCACUGUCAUCUAAACCCCACCUACUCUUCUACCUGGCCCUGGUGUGAGACUCCUUCCUUUAGAGCCUUCCCAAGGUGACAAGAGAAAGUAAUUCCUCUGAACUAGCACAGGAUAACACCAACACUGGCUACUUUUUCUCUGUUAGCAUCUAUAAGCUUCCUGAGGGCAACACCCCCUUCUGCUGGAGGUUUGCAGCCUCCUACCCACCAGCGUGGCCUCUGUGAGCUGAAUGAAUACAUGAAUAUUCAUCCCCCCCUUUUCAGUGUUCACAUAUCAACUUACCCACUCACCACCGCACCCCCCCCCCGCCCCCCCCCCCGCCCACCACAAACAGGGCCCAGGACUCCUCCAGCGUUAAAACUGGAUGCUGUUGGUUACAACCUCAACCAAGAUUACUCAGCCCGGGGAGAGGUUUUCUCUGUUGACCAAGAGCAGAAUGUUCUCUGUAAAAGAGGAAAUGAGUUCAGCUUGGUAAACUGGAAUCAACACGUCCGUAAUAACUUUUCUGGAACUAGCUGGGUCUGGCGUCCCGUUAGGCCACCUCAUAGUGAGGACUGUUGAGUACUUGAAAAACCAAAUGACUAAAAAACCUGCUUUAGAAGUCAUGCCCCGGAGCAGUGCAUCUCAACCGCGUGGUGGACCAUUUGGGAAACACUCGCCAUCUGCUCGGAAACUGAGCUUCUGAUUCAUUCAAGGCUGUCAGCUGAGCAAGCCCUGAUUUUGCAAGAGUAAAAAGAGAAGCCCCUUUAGAUCUGACCUCACCAUCUACCCAUGCAGCUUGCAGACAGCCCAGCUGUGCAGCCAGGAGGAUGAGGCCUUGCAGGAAUGUGCAGAAUGUGGCUGUGUUUCCAUUAGCUGCCCUCGGCCUUGAUCCUGAGCCUGGCUGGGGAGUCUGAAGUGUGCUUCGGUAGAUUAUUAAAAAUAAUUGUUCUCAGCUGGUGGGGGGGGCAAUCUCUUCUGACCCUCCUUGCCACCUUUCUCCCCUUGUUCUGAUGAAUGGGGAGGAGUUCAGGCAGCAAAUUGUGUGUCCAGGGUUUAUUUCUGAUGCCAUUUUGAUGAUCUCCCCAGGUACCCAUCAGAUACAUCAAACUGGAUGUCCUACUAUUACCUCAAAGUCACUGCGUCUAAAACAGAGUACACAAACUUGAACUCCUUCUUAUAACAUUGGUUCCAAACUUAUCAUCCCUCCAACCUGCUUUUUUUGUAUUUCUAUCACCUGCCUCCUUGUCAUUUCUGCCCAAAGUUUGGAUCACUGUGUUUCCUCCCUCUUCCUCCUGACAAAUGUUUACGAUGCACCAACCAUAUGUUUUUGUAAGUGCUGAGUAAGGCAUGGAUCCUGCUCUCUUCUCUAACUGGCAAGAGGUGUAUACAAGUAACUAAAAUACAGUGAUAAGAAUAGUCAAAGCAAUCUUGAAAAAAAAAAAAAAAUCAAAGGAGGCAGACUCACACUUCCCAACUUCAAAACUUACUACCAG